rnacentral:misc_RNA from 1 species
UGGCUUGAUGUGUUGUCUUAGCUAUUUCUGGGUUUUCUUGGAUGGUUUGUAUCUUCUUGUCAAGUUUUUCCACUCAACAUGCCACAUCUAGAAUGGGUAUAUUGGAGAGGUCUAUUGACCUGGCUUAGAAGGAUGCGCUCAUGUUAAGUUUUUCGUGGCUAUUAAUUUAAAAAAAAUUGCAUGCUUACUUUUAAAAAAAAAGUCUAAUUCAAAUCCACACUUGAAUUUAAAUAACCUGAUCAUAAUUUGCCAUCACACUCUCAAGAAGAUAAGAAGAAGAAAAGAGAGAGCAUAUAUACUAAUACAUUGCAUGCAUGCCAUGAUCACUAUUGCAGCAUGCAUAUAACUCACAAAUCCAUUAGAGAUAAAAAAAA